rnacentral:lncRNA from 1 species
UACCGGCCUGAAGAAUGUCUUGCCAUGUUUAGUAGAUGGAUAUCUAAGAGGCCUUUGUAGGAAUAGCCAAAAUUAAACUCAUAUGCUAAGUUGCUAAGUGUGGAAAUAUAUGUCACAUAAAUGCAGAUUAUUGAGCAUUAUUUAUUUCCUGAAAUAAGAGGGAGUUGGUAAUUAAUUAUAUUACCUUAACUCCUCAUUAGUUUAUUUCAGUUUUUAUUCUUGUUGAUGAGGAGUUACUUUCUUGUUUAUGAAUUAUUACUACAUGUAUUUACUUUCUUGUUUAUAAUUGUACUUGACACAUUCCAUAGCCACAUUGUCAGGUUGGUUUUUGCGUGUCUUUUACAACAAUAACAACAAAAUUGGUGGAUUUCUAAAGAUGGCAAUAGGGAGACUCAUAUUUCAAAUGUAAUGAGAUGUUUAUAAUGUUUAUAUUCCUAAACAUUUACAUAAUUGGUGAGUGCAAUUUCGUCUAUCUCACAAUAAAAUGAACAAAGUAAUAUGAAGAGAAAGAGACCAAAAUCUUUCUUAAAAGGAAUUUACAAAUGUGAUCAUGAGAGGGGCAUGAGAAGGGUAUAUCCAUCUUUCCAAUCUAAAUCCAUUAUAUGAUAAAUAGCAAUCGAAUUAUUUAGCAUACACAUCGAAAGAAAAUUUAGGAUACAUAUCCAUCAUGAUUUCACAUCAUGGAUAUCCAUGAUACCGUAUCAUUUACGUUGACUUUAAUUAAUUGUAUUAACAGAAUAACUUUAUAUAUCAAAGUAACUACCAUCUCUUUAAGAAUUCUUCUUAUGUUGAACAGCAUGCCAUGUGAAAAGCAAUGAUGUUGUUGAUUUUAGGUCAUGGGUAAUGAUCGUCAAUAAGGAUAGCUUGUUGGGAGAUAUCAUGAGGUGAAAUGGUACCAUAGGUAACAUUCCAUGUGAAGUAAAUGUAAGGGUCUUCACCAUAAACAGUGAACCACCAAAAACGCAUAGCCAACACAGUACACAAACACCAUUGUACACGAAAGACAAACGGAAAUAACAACCUCAAAAUCUAGAACAACCACCCCAAAGCCGAAACAAAUCUAGGAGAGAUAGUAACUACCGACCUCGUCCGAAAAAUAGAUCUGAAAAAUCCACUUUCGUCGGAAGUGCACUUGAAAAACUUUAGGCUCGGACAUAAACAACCAUGUCCCUUGCAAACUGUCCGAGGCUCUAAGGAACCACUCGGAGAAUGGUUAAAAUGUGGAGGUGCACCGGCUGCUGGAAGGAGAUUAGCCUACAUCAACGGAAAUUGACUGUGGCGCAGAGGUAGGAGCUCCUCGUCGCACCACCAAGCUCACGAUCUACAUCUUGGGAAGAAAAUGUUUGGAUAAGGUAGAGAAGGAGGCGAAUGGUGAGUUUUCUAGUGAAUUUGGAUAAGGUGGUGCAAAUUAUUCUCAUGGUGGCAUGUUGGUGCCUUUGGAGAUGGAGAAACAAAUAUAUUUUUGAUGAGGAUUUGCAACAUUUAAAUGAUCAUAUCUAGGUCAUUCUUCAUAUAGUAUAUGAGAUCAAUAGACAUGGUCAUUCUCUUUUGACGGGAAGGCAGAGGCAGCAUGAGACUAUUUAUAUCAACUCGAAGCAUCCUCAAAGGGAUUAGAUAAAAAGUUAAAUCUAAUGUAGCUUGCAAGGUUUUAAUGAAUGAUGUAGGACAUGAUGGUCUAUAUUGGGAUUCAGACGGUUGCUAGUUGAAAGGAUAUACUCAAAGGAUUGGAACUUGUGAUUUCCUUAAUGUAGAAAUCUUGAGAAUGUUCGCAAAUUGCUAGAGAACAAGGUUUUUCCCCUAUUAUAGUUGAAAGUGAUUUCAAGUUUUUGAUUGAUAUGGUUAACGAGAGUUGUAAGCUUAAUGUACACACCUCUACCUUGAUCCGGAGGAUACACAAUCUUACUAACUUGCAAUGGCACGCGCAGUGGCGGAGUCAGACAAAAGAGUUUGGGGUGGCUGCUAUCAAAAUAAACUAAAACAUAUGAAUCAUAUUGCAUACAACACAUUUAAGUUGUAAUAAACCAAAAACCAAUCAUUCAAAAUUUAAACUACAUAAUAUAUAAAGUCGAUCAUUAAAUACAUAAAGUUACACUUUACUCUUUUCGAGUGACUUAAAAUUGACUCGGAACUAAUACAUGCACUAAUUCCCCUUUCAAUAUAAACUAACAUGCUAUAUGCUAGAAAUUCAGGUCUCAUCUUAUUUCUUAAUUUAACAAUAUGAUAUGAACAAAAAUGAUUAAAAUUCGCAAAGAAAACAAAGUUAAGUGUACCUGACAAAAAAGUGGGUUUAUUAAGAUAUCAUUAAUAAUUCUGCCAAAUUAAUUCUACAAAAUUCUAGGGUAUAAUAUAUUUUUUUUAUUUUAAGAUGGGGUGGCCGUGGCUCCCACUUGCCACCCCGUGGUUCCGCCAGUGGGCACGCAAUUUUCAAAUACACCGUCUUGAAUGAAACAAAUUUGCAUAUUGGCUAGCAUCUUAAUCAAAGUUUGUAUGAAGAAAAAAAAAUGAAGCUAACAUGAAAGAGAAACAAUAGGUAAGAGUUUUUAUUUGAUGCACUCAUUUACAUAUAAUAACCUCAAAACAUUUUGUUAACUUGAUGUUUGUUUCCUUGGUUGUUUAGAAUUACCCAUAUUUACUUAGUGAUUAUUGGGCCAACAAUGAUAAUGUUCGCAAAGCUCUGCAUUGCAUAUACGCGAGGUAUGUAGUUUUUCAUAAUUUUUUCUCGAUCACAUCCUUGCAAUCUUGCAUGAAGAAGUCUUUGCUAGAUUUUUAUAGACGUAAUAGUUUGGUUGCAUGUGUUGCAGGGAAGCAUUGGAAAAUGGAGUCGUUGUUCCGACAAUAUACCUUAUACAGUGGAUAUUUGAUUAUCAUGUAAAUCUUAGUGAUAAAGGCUACCGUUCACUAAUCUACAGGUCAAUCGUCUUUCUCUAUGUUCAUUUUUUCAUUUUCUUAUAGUAUAUAUAAUAUUUGAUAUAUUUUUUAACAGUGGUGAUCAUGACAUAUCCAUUCCAUUUUUGGAUACACAAGCAUGGAUAAGAGCUUUAAAUUACUCCAUUGUUGAUGACUGGAGGCAGUGGCAUACAGACGACCAAGUUGCAGGGUAUUCACAUAACUAUAGUUAAUUAUUAUAUAUGGAGUAUAAUAAUAGAAUAGUUUAUCACAAAAAAAAAAAAUAGAAUAUUUCAUAUUUACAAAAUCAAUGUGUUUCGGUACAAUUGGUUUUCGAACCAACAAUUAAAUGUGUUGUUAUAGAAUAGGAAAAUGUUAUAUCUCGCGACAAAUUACUUUCCCAGAGUGUCCCGAAUGAUAUGCUGCCCUUUUUCGCUUAUGGACAGAAAAAUAUUUUCCUUUAAUUUAUGAAAUGGUGUUCCUUAAAGCAAGAUUUUAAAAUUUGAUUCAAUUUUUUUAUUUUAUGAAAUGGUGUUUCUUAAAGCAAGAGUUUUUCAAUUUGAUUCAAAAAAAAUAAAUUACGAAAUGGUGUUUCUUAAAGCAAGAGUAUACAAUUUGAUUAAAAAAAUUUGAUUCAGAAAAUGAUCAAGAAUUUAUUGGUUAAAAAACAAUUGUACCAAGACACUUAUUUAAUUUUUCAAUGCACAGGUAGAAUCUCCGAUAUAAUAACCAUUCUCGACUUAUGACCAAGUUAAAUUAAUAUUUGUUUAUUUGAACUCUUCACUCUACUAACAAAAAAGUUAAAAUUGUUAGAUUGAAUAUUGUGAUAUGGGCUUUAACCCUAACUCUUCAAUAUAUAUAAAUUUUCAAUGAUAAUUAUCAUUUCGUCCAUAAAAAAAACUUAAUAUUUGUUUUUGAUUUUGUGCAAGUAUAGAUAUACAAGGACUUACUCCAAUGGAAUGACAUUUGCAACUGUGAAGGCAAGCCACUUGUACCUCAUUGCUACAACUAUAAUUUACAAACACAUUUCACUUGAUUAGUCUAUUGAAGAUUUAUAACUGGAGUUUCCCUAAAAAUUUAACAAUAAUCAAUUUUUGGUUGUUGUUCCAGUUUUUCUAUCUUUUGAAAUUAAUAUAUAAAAUUUUAGGUCAAUGGACAAUGUAUUUAAGAUGAUAAAUUUUGUUGUCUAAAAAGUUUUUUUUUUUAGCAAUUGUCUAAAAAGAUUUAGCAGCUCAGCUUAUUGUCUGUUUGUUUUAAAAGCAUUAAUGAAAUGGAUUCUCAUAUAAUCAUAUCAUCUAUAAAUCAUGCACUAAGAAUCAUUACCGGUUAUCCAGAAGUCCUAACUCAACUGGUAAAAUGUCAUUGUUAGGCCGGAUGUCAUGACCAGGGUUCGAACUCUGGUACCUCCACUUAUAUGUGUGAGUUUAUAAUGGCUUUAUCAUUUCGUCUAUCUACAAAAAAAAAACAAAAAAGAAUCAUUACCGGGUUAUUUACUCAAUCAAUGAUUGAUCAAAUUUCCAGGGUGGAGGACACACAGCUCCAGAGUUCCGACCUGAAGAAUGUUUUGCCAUGUUUAGUAGGUGGAUAUCUAGGAGGGCUUUGUAGGAAUAACCA